rnacentral:rRNA from 1 species
UAUGUAGGCGGGCUUUUAAGUCGGGUGUGAAAUCCCACGGCUCAACCGUGGAAUUGCAUUCGAAACUGGAAGUCUUGAGUGUGGGAGAGAUUGGUAGAAUACCUGGUGUAGUGGUGAAAUACGUAGAUAUCAGGUGGAACACCGGUGGCGAAGGCGGCCAAUUGGCCAACACUGACGCUGAGAUACGAAAGCGUGGGGAUCAACA